rnacentral:lncRNA from 13 species
CACUUGCAGCAUCAUGGAGCAUCUUCUUGUCUCAUGAGAACAGGUGAAUUAGCUGACCUCAUGCUCACAUUUAGUAGUAUCUUUUGCUUUAAGUAUCUCACCUGUGGUAUUUUAUUAAUCCUCCCUCUGUAUGAAAUAUUCCUCAUCUUCUUAAGAGUCCCUGGUACAUAUAUGCCUGUCAAAACCCCACUGUGUUUAUCAGGAGCUCUUUUUUUCACUUGGGAUACCCAUGCAGCUGUUACGCUGCUGUCUGCUGGGUGAAAACAGAAAUCCUCCAGCCAGAGAAGGCAAAUCACCAGCUUAUUUGUUUAUUUUCGGUAUCAUCUUUUGGAGGCUGAAGGCAUAGUAGGGGGAGUAGCUGUGCAGACUGCUUGCUCUGCAGACUGCUUGUGAAUGCCGCCUGUGUCGGCGGCACGAGGCCAGCCGGGCUGCCCUUUGGCAGUGAGGGACUGUAAGAUGGAUUGGAUGGCAUGUGGUCUCCGUGCUCGAGUGCCCGGGGAGCUGGCUCGGAGCAGCCCUGGAGCACGCUCCCAGGCACGCGCUCGCCUUCCAUUGAUUCAGCGGGCUGCUUGCUCCCGUCUGUCAGAGCUCGUAGGCUUCUCCGGGCUGCCUGCGCAGCUCCUGCCAGGCCAGCAUGAAUGAAACUCUGCUGGUAUACCAAAAGAAAACGCCAGCACAAAACCCAGCCAAGCUCCUUGGAAAUGUAAAUAGACCGGAACCACUGGUGUCCUCUUAACACAGCAUCAAUCACUGCUGGGUGCUGGAAGUGGCAGCACAUUCGUUGCAGUCCAGGCAGCCAUUGCGGGCAGCAGAUGGAGAGGGUUUAAGACCUUGUAGCACUGUUUUGAAGCUUCUCUGCAGAAGAUGGAGCACAGAUGGAGUGUGCUUUGACCUGCUCACUCAGAUGGGGAAAUAAACGUGUAGAAAGGCCUGCUGACACGUGGCUUCAAAUCCUCUGGCAGAACACAGACUUCGCCCAUCUCUGCUGCAUUCCCUGGGUCGCCCUCGUCCCCUGUUGCUCCCCCAGUGCUGCACUUCCCUUUGUGGACAGGAGAGUGCAUUCCCCAGCAUGGAAAGCUGUGAGGAAAGGAGGUUGCAUGGAAAGAACUGUAAGGUGCUGCAUGAGGACAGAAGGGAACCAUGCCCCUGUGGCACUCGGGGAGGGACAGGUUUUGUCGGUAAGUGCAGACUUACAAGUUGCUAAGACCUUGAUUCUGCCUUUCAUUUCUGCCAAAGGCUUCCUGCACAUGCCAGGGCAAACCACUCAACCCUUUGAACUGCUGGGAGCUGCCAGGGAAAGGUGGCAGCAUCUUUACGCUGCAACUUCUGUCACGUGCCAAGAGCAGUGAGGAUGUACCUCUGUGCUUUGUCCAUCCACAGCCAUACAGCCACUGACUGGCUGACCAGGAGGAUGGAGGGAGUCCAGCUCCUGGGAAGACUCCAGCAUAACACAGUCCUGGCCAGUGUUCCUGCCCAGUGGCACAGAGGUAGGCACAUCUGUCAGGCAGCUGAGACCUGCAGUGUGACACAACACACCAGGACUCCAUCAGUGCACAGUGGGGCCAGGAACCAGGGGAGAGGAGCCAAGAAAGCCUGGAGGAGCCCAGAGGGCUCACAGAGCUCAGCAGCUUAGAGCUGCCCACAGCAGCUAUUGCCCACCCGGGGGAACUUAUGCUUCAGCAUUUCUCUGGGCAGAAAAAGCCUUUAGGUAGCCAAACAAAUUGGUAUCUAUUGGCUGGCAAAUUUACAGUCUGACUCUAAUUUGGUUUUCACUGCCACAGUGAGAUGAGGUGUAAAUUCCUGUUUCUUAAUUCAAGGUACAUAUUGAUAUUUAAUCAUCCAAAUAUGUGCCUCCUUUGACAAUUCAUUUCCCUUCAGCCUCUUUCAACAAUUGCCUCUUCUGGCCAGGGCCCUAUAAAAGAUUAUUCCUUGACUCUGCUGUAAAGGAAAUGAGUGUCUCUUGCUCUCUCUCUCUCUUUCCUUAUGGUGGUUUGUUUUCCAGCGGGAUAUAUUUCAGUUUGCACCAUACAGAUGCUGUUUGACAGGAAUAUUAGCUUUCGCACUUCUCUAGGUUUACAAAGUCAGGACAUAAAGCUGUGUGGUCUUCUCCCAUACCCACCCCCUUUCCCCAGUCCUUUCCAUACACCCUGCCCCUCCACCCCACGUAAUUGUGCUGCUUCUUUUGCCUUGUGGCUUCUGCCUUGUGAGCGUUUUUAGUGACUCCCUUCUUAACACCUCCAUAAAUAAAGUUAAUUAGAUCUCCUCUUGAGUUAACUGCAGUGAGGGAGAUCACUCUUCUCUUCCAGUGGUGUAUCCUGGCUGGGUGGCAUUGGCUUGGUUCAUUCUGGGCACUCUCACCUUUGGGUUCAAUUUCUCCACUGGCAGCUGUCUGUGAGCCACCAUCCCCAGCACAGCACCAGCUCCAGACGUGACCAGCCAGGAGCACAGCCGCGACAAUGCCCGGUGUGGGUACACAGUGGUAUUCCCAGGAGCCUGGCUGGGUGCAGUUUAUUUUCCAGGAAGAAAGAGCCAAGAACCUGCCACAUCUAGACAGACAGCAGGAAGGGAUGAAGAGUGGGGAAAGGGUUCAGGCACAUGGAAACACUUGAAAAUCUCCACCGGAUGCUCAUGUACACACAUCCUUUCACACUCCACCCUGAAAUAAUGUCCUCCAUCACUGCUCUUGCAAACAUCCAGGGACAUCAGCCUAAAUGCCCCUUCCUGCAUCCAUGACAAUAUUGCAUUCCUCUCCCACCUCAGAUCAGUUUGUCCCAGUCAUAUGCUGGACCAGAGAGGGAAAAAUUAGGAUGAUAGGCCUGCAUCCAAGGACAUACACUUUGUGUCCUUGGUUAUCCAAUUUUAGUGUAAAAGCUAGACUGGAUAGUGCAGAAGGCAUUGGAGACUGCAGGCUAGCUCAUCACAUGGUAGCAGCCAACAUCUGCCCUAGAGGAACAAAGGGAACAACAUAUUUUGGCAUCAGGCCUUGAGCAAAACUUUUUAAGGCAUUUUGAUGAUCCAAGUUGAGUUAAAGUAUUGUUGGUAUGAGAGCAUAGUUUCCAAUUAGUUUGUAAUCAAAUUCUCAGUUUGAGGUUUUUGUCUCUGACAGCAUUCUACAAAGGAGGAAAGAAUGUCUCUGGCGUGUCACUGGCCACCCAGAGUCUGCUUUACUUCAGUAGAAAUAGGGUUUUGCUAUCCUUAUGUUUGAUGCAGGUUGGAAUGGGAGAUGAUUAGCCUUCCUUAGGCAAAAGGCUCUAAUACAUUCCUGGACUGGGGUGUAUUACACAAACGGCAGCUAUGUUUCCCCCACAGCUCAUCUGAUUCCACUUGGCUGGCGAAGGGUUGGCACAGCACGCAAAAGCCACAGGUGCAAAGAUCAGGCUGACUCAGACCGAGGGGAGAAUCCAGCAGCGGUCAGAGAGCAGAGUGUAGAGGAGAGGCGGCAGCGGGAUGCAGGAGUGUCACCAGCUGUAGGUCUUGAACGUGCGUGGUAGGCUGGAGUCCUCCCAGGUAGGCACACACAGCAAGGUGUUCCCGUGCCUUGCCCGAGUAAACAGCAGCCGGGCACGCAGGGGAGGGGAAGUCAAGCUGCCUGUCCAAGUGCUGCCCUCUGUGAAAAACAGUGACGGGGCAGAUGGGUUUGAAUAACCAUUGGGUCCCUACCUUACACCCACCACAUCCAGGUCCACAUCGGGAUAGCUGAACACCCUCAGGUCUCUGAAGCAGACUCACCUGGGACUGGCCGGCAUCUCCGUGCAGGAAAUGCCCUGAGCAUUGUGGUUUGCGGCACUGCUUCUGUUAGAAAACAGUCCCAAAGGGGACUUUGGGGUGAAAUGAUUGCUCGGUGUUUGGGUAGUGGUUAUGGGAAGACCCUCCUGGGACACUUCAGGGCUGUGCAUUUACUCCUAAGGCUUUUAGCCGAAAAUAGUGUUCCUCUAUGCGAGGAGUUAAAUCGAAGAGCCCCCUCCACAGAGUCACUUCACAGGCAGGAUGCUGUAGUGUUUUUAAGACUCUGCAGCUAAUGAGAUGUCAUUUUCUGACAGGGGAAGCGCGGCCGUGGCAGAUAUGUAGUCAGAAGGACCUAGAGGGACCCUGCAGAGCUGACAGCGGGCCCUGCUUAGUGCCCGCCCCCCCCCCCCCCGCUCCGCCGCGGCAAGCAGUCCAAACAAAACAGUAGCAGUGGGACAAAGGAAGAGGAAUGUGCGCAGCGUGUGCCCGGCCACGUGUGCGUGUGCCUGAGUGUGUGUGUGUGUGUGCGCGCACGUGGGCGCGUGCCCUGCAGCAUGUGCAUGUGCGCGUGUGCCCAGCGGUGCGCGCACACGCGUGUGUGCACGUGCGUGUGCCCCGCAGCGUGUGUGACCCGCAGGGGUCCCGGCGGGGGUGACACCGCGCAGCCCCGCGGUGACAAAGGCGCGGCGCGGCCCGCCUCUCUCCCCCAUUCACAACCCGCGGCCGGCCGGCGGCGCGGACGGAUUUUUUUUUUGUGAAUGGAGGCGGUGACGUCGCC